UACGGAGGGUGCUAGCGUUGCUCGGAAUCACUGGGCGUAAAGCGCACGUAGGCGGCUUGUUAAGUCAGGGGUGAAAUCCUGGAGCUCAACUCCAGAACUGCCUUUGAUACUGGCGAGCUUGAGUUCGGGAGAGGUGAGUGGAACUGCGAGUGUAGAGGUGAAAUUCGUAGAUAUUCGCAAGAACACCAGUGGCGAAGGCGGCUCACUGGCCCGAUACUGACGCUGAGGUGCGAAAGCGUGGGGAGCAAACAGG
rnacentral:rRNA from 1 species